rnacentral:lncRNA from 1 species
UUGUAAACCAUAAAGAUGAGGAAGGAGUCCAUGGAAAUGUAAAAUGAAUACAGAAUAUUCUGUGUUCUGUUCAUAUUCCUUUUCUAGCAUUUAUUAAAUUGUCCAUAUCUAUGGCACAUUAGUGUCUCUGUCCUACUAACCUGAACUCACUGAGGCUAAGUCAUAAUCAUCCCCAUUUACAGUGAAUUUGGUCCAUUGUAAAGGAAGAAUGUAAAACUAAAUGACAAGCUUGCUAGUAGCAUACCUUGAGGUGAAAGUUUUGUUAAUGCAUGUUUUUCUGAAGAACUACGAAAACCAUAGAAACAUGUAUAUAGAAGCUGGUUUUAAAAAUCACUUUUCUCAUUAUCCUCUG